GACGUAGGGCGCAAGCGUUGUCCGGAAUUAUUGGGCGUAAAGAGCUCGUAGGCGGUGUGUCGCGUCGGCCGUGAAAACCUGCAGCUUAACUGUGGGCUUGCGGUCGAUACGGGCAUCACUGGAGUUCGGCAGGGGAGACUGGAAUUCCUGGUGUAGCGGUGAAAUGCGCAGAUAUCAGGAGGAACACCGGUGGCGAAGGCGGGUCUCUGGGCCGAUACUGACGCUGAGGAGCGAAAGCGUGGGGAGCGAACAGG
rnacentral:rRNA from 1 species